rnacentral:rRNA from 1 species
GACGAACGCUGGCGGCGUGCUUAACACAUGCAAGUCGAACGGAAAGGCCCUGCUUGCAGGGUACUCGAGUGGCGAACGGGUGAGUAACACGUGGGUGAUCUGCCCUGCACUUCGGGAUAAGCCUGGGAAACUGGGUCUAAUACCGGAUAGGAGCCAUUUUUAGUGUGAUGGUUGGAAAGUUUUUUCGGUGUAGGAUGAGCUCGCGGCCUAUCAGCUUGUUGGUGGGGUAAUGGCCUACCAAGGCGGCGACGGGUAGCCGGCCUGAGGGGGUGGACGGCCACAUUGGGACUUACGUGCGGCACAGGCACCGACGGGUGGGAGAAGGGGGGAAUAUUGCACAAGGAGCGCCAGCCGGAUGAAGCGACGCCGCGUGGGGGAUGACGGCCUUCGGGUUGUAAACUCCUUUCGCUAGGGACGAAGCUUUUUGUGACGGUACCUAGAUAAGAAGCACCGGCUAACUACGUG